UACGGGGGGGGCGAGCGUUGUUCGGAAUUACUGGGCGUAAAGGGUUUGUAGGUGGCCUGCUAAGUCAGACGUGAAAUCCCUCAGCUUAACUGGGGAACUGCGUCUGAUACUGGCGGGCUUGAGGACAGGAGAGGAACGCGGAAUUCCAGGUGUAGCGGUGAAAUGCGUAGAUAUCAGGAGGAACACCGGUGGCGAAGGCGGUUCUCUGGGCAUGACCUGACGCUGAGGAGCGAAAGUGUGGGGAGCGAACAGG
rnacentral:rRNA from 1 species